rnacentral:rRNA from 1 species
UACGUAGGGGGCAAGCGUUGUCCGGAAUCAUUGGGCGUAAAGCGCGCGUAGGCGGCCCGGUAAGUCCGUUGUGAAAGUCAAAGGCUCAACCUUUGAACGCCGAUGGAUACUGCCGGGCUAGAGUCCGGAAGAGGCGAGUGGAAUUCCUGGUGUAGCGGUGGAAUGCGCAGAUAUCAGGAGGAACACCGGUGGCGAAGGCGGAUCUCUGGGCCUGUCCUGACGCUCAGGCGCGAAAGCUAGGGGAGCAAACAGG